UUAGAUGAAACCAAAGAAGAGGUAUAUCACUGUUAAUGAUAAAAUUGAACAAUUAAUUCCAUCUAAG
rnacentral:tRNA from 1 species